GAUGAACGCUGGCGGCGUGCCUAAUACAUGCCAGUCGAGCGAACGGACGAGAAGCUUGCUUCUCUGAUGUUAGCGGCGGACGGGUGAGUAACACGUGGAUAACCUACCUAUAAGACUGGGAUAACUUCGGGAAACCGGAGCUAAUACCGGAUAAUAUUUUGAACCGCAUGGUUCAAAAGUGAAAGACGGUCUUGCUGUCACUUAUAGAUGGAUCCGCGCUGCAUUAGCUAGUUGGUAAGGUAACGGCUUACCAAGGCAACGAUGCAUAGCCGACCUGAGAGGAUGAUCGGCCACUGUGGAGCGGAGACGCGCUCCAGACUCCUACGUGAGGCAGCAGUAGGACAUCUUCCGGAAGGGGCGAAAGCCUGACGGAGACACGCCGCGUGAGUGAUGAAGGGCUUCGGAUCGUAAAACUCUGUUAUUAGGGAAGAACAUAUGUGUAAGUAACGGUGCACAUCUGGACGGUACCUAAGCAGAAAGCCACGGCUAACUACGU
rnacentral:rRNA from 1 species